GACGAACGCUGGCGGCGUGCUUAACACAUGCAAGUCGAACGGAAAGGCCCUGCUUUUGUGGGGUGCUCGAGUGGCGAACGGGUGAGUAACACGUGAGUAACCUGCCCUUGACUUUGGGAUAACUUCAGGAAACUGGGGCUAAUACCGGAUAGGAGCUCCUGCUGCAUGGUGGGGGUUGGAAAGUUUCGGCGGUUGGGGAUGGACUCGCGGCUUAUCAGCUUGUUGGUGGGGUAGUGGCUUACCAAGGCUUUGACGGGUAGCCGGCCUGAGAGGGUGACCGGCCACAUUGGGGCUGAGGUACGGCCCAGACUCCUACGGGGGGCAACAGUGGGGAAUAUUGCACAAUGGGCGGAAGCCUGAUGCAGCAACGCCGCGGGCGGGAUGACGGCCUUCGGGUUGUAAACCGCUUUCGCCUGUGACGAAGCGUGAGUGACGGUAAUGGGUAAAGAAGCACCGGCUAACUACGUGC
rnacentral:rRNA from 1 species